rnacentral:lncRNA from 1 species
UUAAACAAAUCUCAUCUCAAAUUAAUAUUAUUAAAACCAUAAGUUAUCUUAAUAGUUACACUUUACAAAAUUACUUCGGUCUACCAGAAAAACUAGGCGAGACCCGAAGCUCAGAAAAUUUACAACUGAUACAUCUACUAAUUACUACUGCGGAUAAUCUAAGAUUUACCAAUUUACAUACCAAAUCAAAUACAUCACCCGAUGAUGAAGGAGUCGGGUUAUUGAAUAAGAGUCACG